rnacentral:sRNA from 17 species
CGGAAGUGCCUUUCUGACCAGGACUGAUUGUUGCGUAGAGAACAUCAAUCUUUCCAGCUCAGAGGGCACUUUCCUCGUUACGACACCCGGUCAACGAGCCCGUUCAUCGGUGGAUUCAG